GCGCAUGCUCGGCGCCCACUGCCUGGGCCGGACCUCCGCGCACCGGAGCAUCUGCAAUUCUGACUCGCAUCCUGGCCUGGGCAUCCCGCGCCGGGCCAUGACGGCGCACUCCUUCGCCCUCCCGGUCAUCAUCUUCACCACGUUCUGGGGCCUCAUCGGCAUCGCCGGGCCCUGGUUCGUGCCGAAAGGACCCAACCGCGGAGUGACCAUCACCAUGCUGGUGGCCACCGCUGUCUGCUGUUACCUCUUCUGGCUCAUCGCCAUCCUGGCUCAGCUGAACCCCCUGUUCGGGCCCCAGCUGAAGAAUGAGACGAUCUGGUAUGUGCACUUCCUGUGGGAGUGACCACUGCCGCCUCCUUGGCCCCAGGUGCCCCAGCUCUCUGGAUGACCUUGGCUCCGCUGUCCCUGAUGACCCUUCUGUCACCCCUACGACUGUGUCCCAGUCCCUCCGUGCUCCCUCCUCCAAGGCCUGCCUGGUUCUGGAAAGUACCACCCUCCCCAGCCAGUCUGGGCCUCAGGAAGCCCCGAGCUCAGAGCCAGGCCGGAGCAGAUGUCCAGUCCUCAAGUUCCCGCUGCCCGCUCCCGAGUAGGUCCAGGCCAGGAGCUCACAAGGGUGGGGCUGCGCCUUUUACACAGUGGGGCAGCCAGAGAAGCCUUCGCGUCCUGUUCAGCCCGGGAUGCUCUGAGCCUCAGGUGGGCCGGGCCGGGGAGGAAGCCCUGGGGGAAGAGGCAGAGCCCCGCCACUGUCCUCCUGUGUGACCCCAGGAAGGGUCUGCCUGUGUGGGCCUCCUCCCCUGUGAGAUGGAGGAGCUUGGUCAGGUGUGGCAAAGGCCUUUCUUGGAAUUCUCCUUUAAAUUUUGACACGUUUCGAUGUGAAAUUUCUGGAAUUGUUGACGAAAUGGAAAAACAGUCCCACAAAACAUUACGAUCUAAAGCAUCAUAGUAAUGUGGAUCAAGGUUGAAACAUGUAUGUUUAGCAUCCUUUAUAGUCACGAAGUCACUUACGUUGGCUUGCUCAGGAAGUGGUAUCUCCUCAGAACAUCCUCUUCCCUCUUCCUCCCCACCUGGAUCACCUCCCUCCCUUCACAGAGGCUCAGCCCGAGCACAGCAGGAGCUGAAGAAACUGGAGGCAGCUCCUGCUGAGGCCGGGCCCAGGCUCUGGCAGCGGUGAGGGUGGAUUUCGGAGCCCCUCACAGCAGCACGUAGGUCAUCUGGAGCGAGGGAGGGCGCGGAGGGCCAGGUGUGGGCCAGGUGUGGGCUGGGCUCUGCUGAGAUGCUGCCCGGCGGGGGAGCCCCUGGCCUGGUGGGGGAGCCCCUGGCCUGGUGACGCCUGGAGAGUUGGGGUGGAGACCUCAGACACUUGCCCGCAGCCCCGGAGCUAAUUGGAGUCCCCCACGUCUGCUGUGCCACGUUGCCUCCCUGGGAAAGAAGCCAGUCUCUUGUAUUUACUGACGGUUGAGUUGAUUGGCAUUCUGUUCAGUAGGCAUCGUUUUUGGAGCGGUGGUAGAACGUGGUAUGUCUCACCUGGAUUUCUUGGUUCUGGGCUUGGCCUGUUGCUCAGAUCGGGGCCUCGCUUGAACAUCCCACCCACCCCCUUUCCAACUCCCUUCCUGUGCUGACCUCUGUGGCCCCCCUGGAGUGGGGCUGUUGAGUCUCAAUUGGCGGCUAGAAGCCUGACCCGUGUCUAGUGAUUAAUGAGUGGUGAGGAAAUUCCUGUUUGGUGGCAAAGUCCUGGCCGAGGCCAAGUUUGCUGGCUGCCGCUCCCCUGCCCACCUGAUUCCCAUUCCCUCGGUGGGUGGAUUUGGGGCCCAGGAAAGGGACUGGCAGCUGCUUGGAGCUGCAGCUCUGGGAUGUGGCCACUGAGACUACAUUUUCCUGAGACCUGAGCGAGAAUCCCGCUGUCCUGGAUUUUGCCCAGAACCAGGCCGGGCAGGAGGAGGCAGACGGAGGACUCGUUCAAGUGGAACUUUGCCCCACCACCCAUCUGUGCCCCAGAUUACAGAGUGCAUGGCCCCCCGGGGCUCUGCAAUAAAGCCGGUCCCCAACAUUCC
rnacentral:lncRNA from 1 species